rnacentral:sRNA from 1 species
ACUUCAUGCCAUGCAGGGAAGACUUCCCAUAUGAUAGAUGUUUUAAUGCAGGUUUGAAAGAAAAGAAGGAUGUAAAUUAAUCAAUAAUCGAGAUUUUGUUUUUCUGUCUUGUAGCUGGAAAAGGAUUUUGGUCUGAGAUGCUGGGCGUGGGGGACUUCUAUUACGAACUAGGUGUCCAAAUUAUCGAAGUGUGCCUGGCGCUGAAGCAUCGGAAUGGAGGUCUGAUAACUUUGGAGGAACUACAUCAACAGGUGUUGAAGGGAAGGGGCAAGUUCGCCCAGGAUGUCAGUCAGUAGGUCUUGUCUUCCAAUCCCUUGGAGUACAGAAAGAGGUCUUUAAAAUUCAGAUGGAACUCUUUUCUCUCUAUUCCUCAUGUCUAGGCUAGCUUAGAAAUCUGUAUGAUCUCCAUAUCAUACAGAAAAAAAAAA